rnacentral:rRNA from 1 species
GUGCCAGCAGCCGCGGUAAGACGUAGGAUGCAAGCGUUGUCCGGAUUUAUUGGGCGUAAAGAGUUCGUAGGCUGUUUGUUAAGUCUGAUGUUAAAGACUGGGGCUCAACCUCGGAAAUGCAUUGGAUACUGGCAGACUGGAGUGCAGUAGAGGCUAGUGGAAUUCCCAGUGUAGCGGUGAAAUGCGUAGAUAUUGGGAAGAACACCGGUGGCGUAGGCGACUAGCUGGGCUGUAACUGACGCUGAGGAACGAAAGCCAGGGGAGCGAAUGGGAUUAGAAACCCCCGUAGUCC